rnacentral:lncRNA from 1 species
CUUGCAUGGUCGUGUUUAGUUUAUGAGAUGUUUCUUACCUUUUAGCUACUAGUUGUGAUUCUGGUGCUUUAAGCAUAUAUCUUCCUACUUCUUAGUGGUUUUGGCCUUCGAUUAUUAUUUUCCAUCUGGCUCGUUUUCUUGGUUAUUUGUGUUGGUGCUCUAAUUUCUUAUUCUUAGUUUGAUUAUUAAUAAAUAUAUAAUUUGUAAAUAAAAUAAGAAA